rnacentral:rRNA from 1 species
GACGUAGGGCGCGAGCGUUGUCCGGAUUUAUUGGGCGUAAAGAGCUCGUAGGCGGUCUGUCACGUCGGCUGUGAAAUCCCGAGGCUCAACCUCGGGUCUGCAGUCGAUACGGGCAAACUAGAGUAUUGCAGGGGAGACUGGAAUUCCUGGUGUAGCGGUGAAAUGCGCAGAUAUCAGGAGGAACACCGGUGGCGAAGGCGGGUCUCUGGGCCGUUACUGACGCUGAGGAGCGAAAGCGUGGGGAGCGAACAGG